AGUCUCAUAGUUUAAUAAAAACGUCAGGCUGCAAUCCUGAAGAUACACUUGCCGUUGGGGCUU
rnacentral:tRNA from 1 species